UGGGGAAUAUUGGACAAUGGGCGAAAGCCUGAUCCAGCCAUGCCGAGUGUGUGAAGAAGGUCUUCGGAUUGUAAAGCUCUUUAAGUUGGGUGGAAGAGCAUUAACCCAAUACGUUGGUGUCUUGACGCUACCGACAGAAUAAGCACCGGCUAACUCUGUGCCCGCAGCCGCGGUAAUACCGAGGGUGCAAGCGUUAAUCGGAAUUACUGGGCGUAAAGCGCGCGUAGGUGGUUAGUUAAGUUGGAUGUGAAAUCCCCGGGCUCAACCUGGGAACUGCAUUCAAAACUGGCUGACUAGAGUAUGGUAGAGGGUGGUGGAAUUUCCUGUGUAGCGGUGAAAUGCGUAGAUAUAGGAAGGAACACCAGUGGCGAAGGCGACCACCUGGACUGAUACUGACACUGAGGUGCGAAAGCGUGGGGAGCAAACA
rnacentral:rRNA from 1 species